GCUGGAAGGUUAAGGGGAUCUGUUAGAGCAAUCGAAGCAGUGAACUUAAGCCCCAGUAAACGGCGGCCGUAACUAUAACGGUCCUAAGGGAGCGAAAUUCCUUGUCGGGUAAGUUCCGACCCGCACGAAAGGCGUAACGAUUUGGGCACUGUCUCAACAACAGACUCGGUGAAAUUGUAAUUCCGGUGAAGAUGCCGGAUACCUGCGACAGGACGGAAAGACCCCAUGGAGCUUUACUGUAGCUUGACAUUGGGUCUUGG
rnacentral:rRNA from 1 species